rnacentral:rRNA from 1 species
CACAAGCGGUGGAGCAUGUGGUUUAAUUCGAUGCAACGCGAAGAACCUUACCUGGUCUUGACAUCCACGGAAGUUUUCAGAGAUGAGAAUGUGCCUUCGGGAACCGUGAGACAGGUGCUGCAUGGCUGUCGUCAGCUCGUGCUGUGAAGUGUUGGGUUAAGUCCCGCAACGAGCGCAACCCUUAUCCUUUGUUGCCAGCGGUCCGGCCGGGAACUCAAAGGAGACUGCCAGUGAUAAACUGGAGGAAGGUGGGGAUGACGUCAAAUCAUCAUGCCCCUUAUGACCUGGGCUACACACGUGCUACAAUGGUUGGUACAACGAGUUGCGAGUCGGUGACGGCGAGCUAAUCUCUUAAAGCCAAUCUCAGUUCGGAUUGUAGGCUGCAACUCGCCUACAUGAAGUCGGAAUCGCUAGUAAUCGCGGAUCAGCACGCCGCGGUGAAUACGUUCCCGGGCCUU